rnacentral:rRNA from 1 species
GCAGAAGAAGCACCGGCUAACUCCGUGCCAGCAGCCGCGGUAAUACGGAGGGUGCGAGCGUUAAUCGGAAUUACUGGGCGUAAAGCGCAUGCAGGUGGUUUGUUAAGUCAGAUGUGAAAGCCCGGGGCUCAACCUCGGAAUUGCAUUUGAAACUGGCAAACUAGAGUACUGUAGAGGGGGUAGAAUUUCAGGUGUAGCGGUGAAAAUGCGUAGAGAUCUGAAGGAAUACCGGUGGCGAAGGCGGCCCCCUCGGACAGAUACUGACACUCAGAUGCGAAAGCGUGGGGAGCAAACAGGAUUAGUUACCCUGGUAG